rnacentral:rRNA from 1 species
UACGAGGGGGGCAAGCGUUGUUCGGAAUUAUUGGGCGUAAAGGGCGCGUAGGCGGUUUGGCAAGUCUGAUGUGAAAUCUCUGGGCUCAACCCAGAGUCUGCAUUAGAAACUGCCGGGCUUGAGUAUGGGAGAGGUGAGUGGAAUUUCCGGUGUAGCGGUGAAAUGCGUAGAUAUCGGAAGGAACACCUGUGGCGAAAGCGGCUCACUGGACCAUAACUGACGCUGAGGCGCGAAAGCUAGGGGAGCAAACAGG